UAUUUUUGUCCUAAGUCAAACUUCUCUAAACUGACCAAUUUAUAUAAAAAUGUAUUAACAUCUACAAGACCAAAUAAAUCCUCUAUAGACAUAUUUCAUAGUGGUUUAAUGAAACUAAUUGCUUUUGUUGUUGUAGAUGUUAUAGCAUUUUUCUAUAAAUUUGAUCAAAGUUAGGAAAGUUUGACUUAGGACCAAACUGGG
rnacentral:pre_miRNA from 1 species